rnacentral:rRNA from 8 species
UGGGGAAUAUUGGACAAUGGGCGCAAGCCUGAUCCAGCCAUGCCGCGUGUGUGAAGAAGGCCUUUUGGUUGUAAAGCACUUUAAGCGAGGAGGAGGCUACUUGGAUUAAUACUCUAGGAUAGUGGACGUUACUCGCAGAAUAAGCACCGGCUAACUCUGUGCCAGCAGCCGCGGUAAUACAGAGGGUGCGAGCGUUAAUCGGAUUUACUGGGCGUAAAGCGUGCGUAGGCGGCUUCUUAAGUCGGAUGUGAAAUCCCUGAGCUUAACUUAGGAAUUGCAUUCGAUACUGGGAAGCUAGAGUAUGGGAGAGGAUGGUAGAAUUCCAGGUGUAGCGGUGAAAUGCGUAGAGAUCUGGAGGAAUACCGAUGGCGAAGGCAGCCAUCUGGCCUAAUACUGACGCUGAGGUACGAAAGCAUGGGGAGCAAACAGG